GCGGGGCCGGCUCGGCCAGGACAAACAGCUGGCGGGUGUCAGGGACCGCCUUGGCGCCGCGCGCCCCGGCGCACCGUGCCCGGCUCUCGCCACGACUUCACCUGGGACUCCAGGAGGAACUGCGCUGGCAGCGCGCGGCAGCCGUGGCAUCUGCUGAGGGGUGGGUGGCCGUGCCCGAGGAAGUGAACUUAUUUUGUUCCUUCACAAAAGACUGGACCAGGCGGUGCCUUCCUCGCGAGGACACCUCCUCGGGCGCCUUGUGUGCACCGGGCAGCACCUCUGGCCCCGGGCGGUGAGCGUUUCGCAGAAAAUGCACCGCCCCGAGUGUCUUAUUGCUGUGAUGAAAUGGAAAUUUAAAUAAAAGGUCGAACACGUGCGUUCACUGGGAAGUAUUGACAUGGGUGUUACAUCACCAGCAGCCAAUCAGAUGACUCCAGUCGUGUUUAUACUUCUACAACCACCUUGAUCUUCCAGGAGGCAGGCGGAUCUCCGAGUUUCGCGUCAGCCAAGGAAUUAAACAGGGCCCUGCUAUCUAGCCCAGCCUGAUCGUGAACAGCAGUUCUCCUACCUCAGUAUCCCUAGUGCUGGAAUUGAACGUAUACACCAUCAUGCCCCACAAGAUUAAUCUUAAAAUUCUUUUGUUCAAGCUUAUUUCAGGCUUUUAUUUCCUUUUUCUUUUCCUUUUUUGAUUUUUUUUAUUUAUUUAUUUAAAGACAGGGUCUCUAGACUCUGGCUGUCACUAGACCGGGGUGGCCACCAACCCACAGAGAUUCCCCUGCCUCGAGCCUCCUAAAGUUUUCAGGAUGCUGGAGGCUGGAUGGACGGCUGUUCUUCCGAGGAACUGGCUGGCUCCUGGAGCUCCAGCUACUGGGAUGUGACAGCUCAUCCGUCCCCAGGCACCAGGCAGCCCAUGGUGCACAGAUAUACAUGCAGGCGAUACACAAAUGCAUAUAAUUUUUUUUAAAAUUUAAAGCUAUGUGUUAACAAUUCUCCAAAGUGUUAUAAAUUACUGUUUGCCAAUAGGGGUUUUUAUUUUUGUUUUUGUUUUGUGAGCCAGCUUUCUCUGUAACCUGGCUGGCCUUGACUUGGGUCAUGCCUCGACCUCCAUGGUUUUGUCACCAUGCCCAGCUACCUAGGUGGAGUUUUGGGUUAUUUUGUUUAGAGGUCUCACUUCAUACCUCUGGUUCCCUAGAACUCAGUGUGUAGCUCAGGCUGCCUUCUAACUCAGGCAGUCCCGUCUCACUUAAGUGGCGGAUUCAAGGUGAGAGCCACUGUGCCCAGUUGCCUUAACGUUUUUAAUUGAACUAAACACAAGCAUGAACUUUGAGAUUUGUGUUGGUGCUGACUUUUCAAAGCCACUUUGACUUAACUUACCUUAAUUUUAGGACCCGAAGUACUGCAGUUUUGUAUAUGAAAUGAAAUUGGUUAAUUCCAGUGUGAGCUUGUGUUUUUUUGCUUGAGUUCGUCUAUCACCUGUAAGGAACAACAUAAUUUCAGUGUGAAGACUGGCAGGACUGCAAGUUGCACAGAAAGCCAUGGGGCUUGAGUUAUCUUCCCAAAUGAGCAUCUCAUCACCAACAUACAUUGUCAUUGUUCGCCAGAUGCUGUAGCCACUUACUCUGAUACCGUUGGUGAGCUCUGGUUGUUGAUGUUAAGAGAGCCUGCACCUACCUUUACCUUGGAGUACGAAGAGAAAUUUACCUGCUGUAGCUGCUGCAGUAUAGGAAAAUGUAACAACAUGCUUGGUUUCCCAUGCAUUUUUUUAAAUUCUAGGCAUUUUAGAAAUAAGUACAUAAUUAUAUUUUAACCACACAGCCUCUCCCACUUGAAAAUUAGUUAUCAGAUUAAGAUGUUGAGAAAUGUCGUCUGUAUGUCUGUUUUAUUCCAACACUAAUAAAUCUUACUUCAUCUCAAGCUUGUAUCCCUAGCUAAUAUAUAAUUACUUUAUCAAGUUAU